rnacentral:rRNA from 1 species
GUAGGGGGCCAGCGUUGUCCGGAUUCAUUGGGCGUAAAGCGCGUGUAGGCGGCCAGGUAGGUCCGAUGUGAAAUCUGGAGGCUCAACCUCCAGCUGUCAUUGGAAACCAUCUGGCUAGAGUCCGGAAGAGGAGAGUGGAAUUCCUGGUGUAGCGGUGAAAUGCGCAGAUAUCAGGAAGAACACCGAUGGCGAAGGCAGCUCUCUGGGACGGUACUGACGCUGAGACGCGAAAGCGUGGGGAGCGAACAGGAUUAGAUACCCUGGUAGUCCACGCCGUAAACGAUGGGCGCUAGGUGUGGGCGGUGUCGACUCCGUCCGUGCCGAAGCUAACGCAUUAAGCGCCCCGCCUGGGGAGUACGGCCGCAAGGCUAAA